CAGCAGCCUCGGCUCCCGGAGCCUUCCUCAGCUUGCCUGUUACACAACAGACCUAAGAAUAAUUCAGGGGAGUGAGGCGGGGAGGAAGGGGAUCGUAGAUGGAGGUACACAGAGGAUGGGGAGAUGAAGAAGCAGGGCUUGCUGGCCCUAGCUUCCACUCCUGACAGCCAGCUACUUUCUUCACCAGAUGUCAGAGCUAGGGCCCAGAGAGAGAGACUGACCCAGGGUCACAGCAGCCAAGCAGCAGAGCCCAGAUGGGAACCCAGGCUCCCUGGCACCAGAGAAGAAUAAUGACUCGUAUUUUAUAGCAGUACCUACUACAACCUGAAGGCCAGGCCUGAGCAGAAACCCUUGGAACAAACAGUGGAGGAUUGUACAUGUCUCUGCACAGAGAGCUUUCGACAUAUCCACGGGGCAAAGGAGACUUGAACCUGUCACGGCACAUUUGGAGAAGCUAUUUCACAUCAGGACCUGGAAGAACCCAGAGGAGGAAAACGGGAAGAGAAAAAAUCUACUUUCUCAUUUCCAUUAGUGGAUGGAGAGAGCUCUGGGCCUAGAGUCAGGAAGGCCUGAGUUCCAAUCCGGCUUCAGACACCUGCUAGUUCUGUGACCCUGGGCAAGUCACUUAACCUCUGUUUGCCUCAGUUUCAUCAACUGUAAAAUGGGGGUAAUAAUAGCACCUAUUUCCAAUGUUUUGAGAAUCUAAUGUGUUAAUAAUUGUAAAGCACUUAGCACAGUACCUGACACAUGUUAGCUGUUAUUAUUAUUAAUCAUUAAUUUACAGAGAAAGAAACUGAGUCCCAGAGAAGUGGACUGAUUGACCCCAAAGCA